rnacentral:rRNA from 1 species
CAUGUAGGUGGUUUGGUAAGUGGAUGAUUAAAGACCAGGGCUUAACCCUGGGACUGUUGUCCAUACUGCCUGACUUGAGGAGGGCAGGGGUAAGCGGAACUUUAGGUGUAGGAGUGAAAUCCGUAGAUAUCUAAAGGAACACCAAUGGCGAAGGCAGCUUACUGGGCCCUAUCUGACACUGAGAUGCGAAAGCGUGGGGAGCGAGCGGGAUUAGAUACCCCGGUAGUCCACGCUGUAAACGAUGCCGAUUAGCCCUUGGAGGGUAUCGACCCCCUCUUGGGGCGAAGCUAACGCGUUAAAUCGGCCGCCUGGGGACUACGAGCGCAAGCUUAAA